UUUUUUUUUUUUUCCUUUUCACGUGCUUUCUACUCAUGUGUGUUAAUCUUAUUAACAGUAAUACAUGCCUUAAUAUGCUUUACUUCAUCUCUUACAGGUGGUUAAUAUAUGAAGAUCUUUGCCAGGAGGAACAAGAAAAGGAAGUUAAAGGUGCCGUGUUCUUGAGGAGAUGGAUACUGAAAGAUGUGAAACCAGUAAAAUUCCACACUUCAUGGAAGGAAAAAUUGGAGUUGCAAGUUAAUUGUGACUGGAGACCUGGCAGGGUGGCGUGGCUCACAGUGGCUUAGAUUUCGAACACUGACUGUGUCAACACCAAGAGCUGUAGUGAGUUCAUUUCUUUCCUUCAUCUCGUAACUGUAAGGAAACUUUCCUGGCUUUCAGUUGGCAGCAUGGUCGUUGGUCUAGGCCCAUAGGGAAAAGGCGUUGGGUCCAGUGCGGUCUUGGGAAUUCUGAAACCCUUGAUCAAAAUCUCUGGUGGCUUGCUGACAGGAGGAAUUGUGAGAUGGUGGAAAAAGAUGUAUGCUUAAGUGUGCCUUUGUGUGUGACGCGUGUUCAGUGCAAUAUAAACUGCAUGUUGAACGAACUUCUGAGGUAUCUGUUUCUGUGGGAAAAACAGAUGUCAGCACUACUUGACUAGUUAUGUUGUGUCUGAAUUAUUUUGUAUACUACUAUUCUUGGCAGCAAAGCCAGUGUUAAGAGGUUAAUACUUCAGUUGCUAUCCCACUGUGCCGGUUACUGUGCUGCAGACAAAGCUGUUUGUAAGGCUGUUAUCAGGAAUAUGAGCAACAGUAAAAGAAAAAUUUUGGUUAGGUAUUUUAUUUUGCAGCGUUUUCAAGAGGAAAGAUCAGUUCACUCAUCUGGCUAAUCAUUUCCCCAAGAAAAUGCAAAUUUGUCCCCAAGAAAAUGCAAAUUUGAACAACAGUUUGGUCAUGCCUGGGUGUCUCAGUCUGGGAAGGUAAGUCUUAAACUUUCUCUUCUAGAUCCUAGAAAUUUGGAGGGGUUUUUUGGCUGCAGAGUACAUGAGAAGGAGGUAUGAAAAGGAAGGAAAAAUAGGAAUUUCUUACACCUGCUUCACCAUGCAUGCAUGUGAGGCCUAGCUGAUAACCAAAGGUUAGCAUUGAGCAAAUAAGAGUGAAUGGUAGCUUGGCUCAUUUCAUACUUAAACAUACCAUAAUUUAAGAUAUUUAAACAGAUCUGUAUUCCUUUAAAAUUAAUGAAUGUCUUUGAAGACCUGACAGCAGUGUGACUGAAGGUUAUACUUCUUUCCAGAAGGCACCAAGUGAUG
rnacentral:lncRNA from 1 species